rnacentral:rRNA from 1 species
UAGGGAAUCUUCCACAAUGGACGAAAGUCUGAUGGAGCAACGCCACGUGAGUGAAGAAGGGUUUCGGCUCGUAAAACUCUGUUGUUAAAGAAGAACAUAUCUGAGAGUAACUGUUCAGGUAUUGACGGUAUUUAACCAGAAAGCCACGGCUAACUACGUGCCAC